GCCCCUAUGGCGGAAUUGGUAGACGCGGCAGAUUCAAAAUCUGCUAUUCUUACGAAUGUGUCCGUUCAAGUCGGACUAGGGGUACCA
rnacentral:tRNA from 1 species